rnacentral:rRNA from 1 species
CACGUAGGGGGCGAGCGUUGUCCGGAUUUAUUGGGCGUAAAGAGCUCGUAGGCGGCUCGGUAAGUCGGGUGUGAAAUUUCGAGGCUUAACCUCGAAACGCCACCCGAUACUGCUGUGGCUAGAGUCCGGUAGGGGAGCGUGGAAUUCCUGGUGUAGCGGUGAAAUGCGCAGAUAUCAGGAGGAACACCGAUGGCGAAGGCAGGUCUCUGGGCCACUACUGACGCUGAGAAGCGAAAGCAUGGGGAGCAAACAGG